rnacentral:lncRNA from 1 species
GCUGUGCUAGGCUGUUGCUCCCGCUGGAGUGUAGUUUCCUCUAGUACCCCCGCCCCCCGCACCCGGUUGGCCGCUGGGAACUCGGUAGGGACGCCAGGUCUGGAUCAAGGUUUGCUGCGGUACUCCUCCUACCUAUACCUGGAGAAGCAUGCCUUGGCUGGUUCUCAAUCCCAGAAUGCUGAGAGACACAUGUAGCAGAGCCACUGCAGCUGGCCCAGGAACCUGAAGUAAGAAGCAGAUCCAGCCAGGUAAGCCCAGCCUCAGUCCUAGCUGAGCCAACCCACAGACUCAUUGGAAAAAAAAAAAAAAAAAGAUUGUUCCUUUAAGCCACUGAGUCUUGGGGUCAUUUGUUAUUCAGAAAUAUUGUGCCAAAGUUAAUUAAUACAUUGCAAAAUAAAUGGUGGUGUGUUGAGAAGGAGGAGGAGAGUGGAGAUGGGCAUCCUUUUCUGGCUGUCUCCCUGGUUCUCCAUAAUCUAUGGAAAGGUAGCUAUCAGGCAAUGGCUGGCCUGCCUAGUGGUUGGCUGUCUUCCUUGAGUAGGUGAAAUUUGCUAGAAAAUUCAGAGCAAGUUCACUCAGUUUGAGGGGUGAGAAGCUAUUAUUUAUGGUUGAUAAUUCUUCAAAACCUGAAAAUAACUAAGCAAAACUUGGCCAUUGAUAUCAAUUUAUGAUUGCCUCUGCUUCUUUUAUUCUGAAAGAUCAUGUAAGCUCCUUCAUUUUUAAGGGUAAUUUCAAACAUUCUUUUGUCUAGUCCAGUGCUAGGUAAUACAGGAAUUUAGUAAAUUCUACUAAAGGACUAUGUUAAAAGUUCUUGGGUUGCAAGUCCUAAGUGUCAGAAUCUGGAUAAUCAGUUGAAUACUCAAACCUUUUUUCCAAACCACCUCCAAUUUCAACCAAAAGCUUCCUAAUUCCUUCUUGCCAAACUUUCUUACCCUCAGAAUAUUGGAUUAAUAGCAUGUGAUAUCUAAAGAUAGAUGAUGAUGUAGUGAAUGCCGAGAUUUUGAAUGAUAUAAUCUCACAGCACCAAUACCCCAGUUAGGAAAUCUAGGCACCUUUACUUACAGAGACUGAAGACUAAUUGCCUCAACAAGCAUACCCGAAAAUGUGUGAUUGAUUGGUAUCAAUGAGCAGUUUAAAUCUCUUAGGUCAAUGGUAUUUUUCCCAACUGUCCUCUCACUCUUAUCUCAGAAAAAUCUCUUUCUGUCAUACAGGAUUAUAAAGUUUAGGUGAUGACUAGAUACCCAAGGGGAAGUGUCCUGUCACACCACUUGGACUGCAUUGAAGACUUGCAUCUAGAAAAUAAAAUAAUAGUGAUGACGAUGAUGAUAACACCUAGACUAUUUGCUGAACUUAGGAUCAACAAGCACUGUGCUAAGUGUUUUAUUUGCCUUAUCUUAUUUAAACCACAUAACAAUUCUGAAGGAGUGAUUAUUAUUCACCCCAAGGAUGUUAAGUCACUUGCAGUUAACAAGUAGCUGACAUGAGAUUUGGACUCUGGCCCGUCAGACUCCUUGAUCAUUAUUCUUCACUACCUUGGCGGGAGGUGUUAGUUGAAAGCAUGGUUUUGGAUAUUCUCUUAAAAGACUAGGACAUUUUCCCCCCACUUACUUGUCUUUUCCACAAGUAAAGUGUAGUCUUAGCCUUCCUUUCUCCAGUUUUGUCUUGAUAGAACUCCAAAAACACUCGACAGCUUCCAUAUGUCAACUGGGUGACCCCUGUGUUUUUCUAUUUAUGUUUCCUCUUUCAAUUCAACUCAAGGGCCACAACACUGAAGCCUUCAAGCAGGAUGGGUUUAUGGAAGAAACAGAGAAAAAUCUAAUUUGUUACCAAGAACUUCGUAAGGCAACAGACAUAAAACUAUUGUGGCCUUACCCAAAUGAAUGCCU